AUUGAACGCUGGCGGCAUGCCUUACACAUGCAAGUCGAACGGUAACAGGGAGCUUGCUCCGCUGACGAGUGGCGAACGGGUGAGUAAUGUAUCGGAACGUACCAUUCAGUGGGGGAUAACGUAGCGAAAGUUACGCUAAUACCGCAUAUUCUGUGAGCAGGAAAGCAGGGGAUCGCAAGACCUUGCGCUGAUUGAGCGGCCGAUAUCAGAUUAGCUAGUUGGUGAGGUAAAGGCUCACCAAGGCGACGAUCUGUAGCGGGUCUGAGAGGAUGAUCCGCCACACUGGAAUUGAGACACGGUCCAGACUCCUACGGGAGGCAGCAGUGGGGAAUUUUGGACAAUGGGGGCAACCCUGAUCCAGCCAUGCCGCGUGAGUGAAGAAGGCUUUCGGGUUGUAAAGCUCUUUCGGCCGGGAAAAAAAUCGCAUCAGUUAAUACCUGGUGUGGAUGAUGGUACCGGAAUAAGAAGCACCGGCUAACUACGUG
rnacentral:rRNA from 1 species